UGGGGAAUAUUGGACAAUGGGCGCAAGCCUGAUCCAGCCAUGCCGCGUGAGUGAGGAAGGCCCUAGGGUUGUAAAGCUCUUUCACCGGUGAAGAUAAUGACGGUAACCGGAGAAGAAGCCCCGGCUAACUUCGUGCCAGCAGCCGCGGUAAUACGAAGGGGGCUAGCGUUGUUCGGAUUUACUGGGCGUAAAGCGCACGUAGGCGGACUUUUAAGUCAGGGGUGAAAUCCCGGGGCUCAACCCCGGAACUGCCUUUGAUACUGGAAGUCUUGAGUAUGGUAGAGGUGAGUGGAAUUCCGAGUGUAGAGGUGAAAUUCGUAGAUAUUCGUAGGAACACCAGUGGCGAAGGCGGCUCACUGGACCAUUACUGACGCUGAGGUGCGAAAGCGUGGGGAGCAAACAGG
rnacentral:rRNA from 1 species